rnacentral:lncRNA from 1 species
UUAUGGUUAUAUAAUAAUUACNAACACUGAUUUUGGGCUCAUUAAUGCCAAUUUUGGACUCUCAUUACCCUCAUUAACACUGUUUUUGGGCUCAUUAAUGCUGAUUUUGGGCUCUCAUUAACACUGAUUUUGGGCUCAUUAAUGCCAAUUUUGGGUUCUCAGUGCCCUCGUUAAUGCCAAUUUUGGGCUGUCUCAUUAAUGCCAAUUUUGGACUCUCAUUAAUGCUGAUUUUGGGUUCUCUCAUUAACCUCUCACUGCCCACAUUAAUGCUGAUUUUUGGCACUCAGUGCCUUCAUUAAUGCCAAUUUUGGGCUUCCUCAUUAAUGCCAGUUUUGGGCUCUCAUUGCCGUCAUUAACAUUGGUUUUGGGCUCAUUAAUGCCAAUUUUGGGCUCUCAGUGCCCUCAUUAACGCUGUUUUUGGGCUCAUUAAUGCCAAUUUUGGGCUCUCAGUGCCCUCAUUAAUGCUGAUUUUGGGCUCUCAUUAACACUGAUUUUGAGCUCAUUAAUGCCAAUUUUGGACUCUCAUUACCCUCAUUAACACUGUUUUUGGGCUCAUUAAUGCCAAUUUUGGGCUCUCUCAUUAAUGCCAAUUUUGGGCUCCCUCAUUAAUGCCAGUUUUGGGCUCUCAUUGCCCUCAUUAAUGCUGAUUUUGGACUUUCAUUAACACUGUUUUUGGGCUUUCAUUAACGCUGUUUUUGGGCUCUCAUUAACACUGAUUUUGGGCUCAUUAAUGCCAGUUUUGGGCUCUCAUUAACACUGUUUUUGGGCUCAUUAAUGCUGAUUUUGAGCUCUCAUUAACACUGAUUUUGGGCUCAUUAAUGCCAAUUUUGGACUCUCAUCACCCUCAUUAACACUGAUUUUGGGCUCAUUAAUGCCAAUUUUGGGCUCUCAUUGCCCGACACUGAUUUUGGGAUCUCUCAUUAAUGCCAAUUUUGGGCUCUCAUUACCACCCCUUUAAACCAGAAGCACCUUGCUGGUGCCACCCAUCAGUUCCCCCAUGGCCAUUCAUUUCUUUGUUAAACUCACUCAUUCCUUUGGGAUUUUCCUCUGCCCUUUCCCUGCUCUGAUUGCAGGGCCGGUUCCUGGCCACCUACGGGUACAGCGGGCACAGCUACGGGCUGGCACGGGGCACGCUGGAAUCCAUCGCCAGGGAGGGGCUGGCAACCUGUGUGCACAUGGAGAUCGAGGGCGUGCGCAGCCUGAAGCGCACCCACUUCCGGCCCCGGUGCAUCCUGGUGGUGCCCAAGGACAAGGAGAAGUACGGGGAGCACCUGAGGAGGACGGGGCUCUUCACCAGGCCCGAGAUGGACGAGGCCGUGGCCAGGGUGGACAUGUACCUGCAGGAGUGCCAGGAGUGCCCCGGCUUCUUCGACGCCAUCAUUAACACGGGUCAGUUAAUUGCUGAUUGAUUGCCUCUGGGAUAAUUGGGAAUCAUAACAUAACAUAACAUAACAUAUAUUUUUAUAUCAAGUAUUUUUAUACAAUAUAGAAUUUUAAUUUUGUUUUCGUUUUAUGUUUAAUUUUCUGGUUUUUGGUUCUCAUUGCCCUCAUUAAUGCUGAUUUUGGGCUCUCAUUAACUCUGAUUUUAGGCUCUCAGUGCUCUCAUUAAUGCUGAUUUUGG